CCUACGGGAGGCAGCAGUGAGGAAUAUUGGUCAAUGGGCGCGAGCCUGAACCAGCCAAGUCGCGUGCAGGAUGACGGCCCUCCGGGUUGUAAACUGCUUUUAGUUGGGAAUAAAAGGGGGCUCGUGAGCCCCGUAUUGUAUGUACCAUCAGAAAAAGGAUCGGCUAACUCCGUGCCAGCAGCCGCGGUAAUACGGAGGAUCCGAGCGUUAUCCGGAUUUAUUGGGUUUAAAGGGAGCGUAGGUGGAUUGUUAAGUCAGUUGUGAAAGUUUGCGGCUCAACCGUAAAAUUGCAGUUGAAACUGGCAGUCUUGAGUACAGUAGAGGUGGGCGGAAUUCGUGGUGUAGCGGUGAAAUGCUUAGAUAUCACGAAGAACUCCGAUUGCGAAGGCAGCUCACUGGACUGCAACUGACACUGAGGCUCGAAAGUGUGGGUAUCAAACAGGAUUAGAUACCCCUGUAGUC
rnacentral:rRNA from 1 species